GUGGGGAAUCUUGCGCAAUGGGCGAAAGCCUGACGCAGCCAUGCCGCGUGAAUGAUGAAGGUCUUAGGAUUGUAAAAUUCUUUCACCGGGGACGAUAAUGACGGUACCCGGAGAAGAAGCCCCGGCUAACUUCGUGCCAGCAGCCGCGGUAAUACGAAGGGGGCUAGAGUUGCUCGGAAUUACUGGGCGUAAAGGGCGCGUAGGCGGACAGUUUAGUCAGAGGUGAAAGCGCAGGGCUCAACCUUGGAAUUGCCUUUGAUACUGGCUGUAUUGAGUACGAGAGAGGUGAAUGGAACUCCGAGUGUAGAGGUGAAAAUCGUAGAUAUUCGGAAGAAAACCAGUGGCGAAGGCGACUCACUGGCCCGUUACUGACGCUGAGGCGCGAAAGCGUGGGGAGCAAACAGGAUUAGAUACCCUGGUAGUCC
rnacentral:rRNA from 1 species